CACCGUAUUAGUUCAAAGGUAGAACAGUGUUUUUCCGUAUUAUGUACUACGGCUUUUUCGAUAACGUCGUUGAUACGUCCGUCAACCAUAGUCAUCUUGUUUUCCGCAUAGCCACGGUAUAAAGCAAAGAAAAAACGCAAGCACGGGGUUCGAUUCCCCGAUACGGUGCUCC
rnacentral:tRNA from 1 species